rnacentral:lncRNA from 1 species
AGGUGAGAAAAAAGGAAGGUCAGACAGGAAGGGACUUGCCCGAGGACCCAUGACCAGUAGGUGGAAUUUCAAAGAGGUGUUUGAUACCAGUCCCUCUCUGUCCAGUAUACCCCAAAGCAUGACCCAAGUGGCUUGGCAUUUCUGAAUGUGGAGGAGGGACCUAGAGUCAUACCUUGCAUCAGAACCUGCAGUGGGGCAUUGCUUGGGAGCCAGGAUCACUUCUUUCAACUUGAGGUUCACACUACAUAGUCCCUUCGAUUUUCUCCCUUAGGCCGGAAGGUUUCCUGGGGUAGUCCAUGGAAAGAACUCAAAAAGGCCCCUUCUUGCUGGAGAGCCUGCCAGACAGCCAGUGUUGCAGCUGCUGCCAGACACAGGAGUGCUGUUGGUCCCAGCAGCCACCUGGAGUUUUGCCUCCCCAACUUCCUCCCCUCCCUGCUGGCUUGUGCAGAAUCCAUCUGGGCCUUGGGUGCAGAAUGGGCAUCGGGGCCUUCGGAGCACCUGGCCUGGCCUCCUCCUGGUGAAAGGACACCGGACACCUUUAUGCUCAGCCCUGGUAGGAGAGAUGCUGUCUGCAGGGCAGCCUGGGAGGUCUGGAGCCUGGGGUUCUUGGCAGGGCUCCUUGACUGAGUGUUCUCAGCAAGCAAUUUGCAUCCCACUGUUUCCCCACACCUGCCCUCAGGACUUGACAAAACAGAAAAUAGGACUCGGGUGGGGAACUAUUUUUAAGUUUUUGAUUCAGUUGUGCGUCAACCAUUUUCUGCCCAGCUGCUUGUUUCAGUGGGAGGCAGGAGAGGGAGGGUGGCGUGCUCAUCCCUCAGGGUCGCUUCUCCUACAGAAUGAAAAUGAGCUUUCAAAGGGUGGGCAAGAAAUGUAAAACUACUGAAUAAAAUCAGACUUUAGGACUCUCUGAGUCCUUUUGGUUAGGUCCUGUCCCAUUUCUUCUUAGGUAACCCAGUUUGUUUCACCUGUGAAAUAAAUCUCUUUAAUGCAUUGUUAGAGUCUCCCCAAGAUUCCUAAAGCCUGAGGCAGCACAGAAGAGUUUGCUUUCAAUAUGGCACUACCAGCCUACCAGUUAUGUCUCCCUCAGAAACAUCAGUGUUUUUAUCUUAGAAUAAAAGACUUUUCUCUUAAGCCCUGGGGACAAAUGCAGCAAGCCCCCAAGCUAUUAUCUGAACUGUGUCUUAGGUACUUCUUUUGGCACCGGAUUUAGAUAUGGACCACAAUAUUUGAAUGUGCAGCCGCCUGGAUUUACAUGUGUUUCUAUUUAUCUGAAAUUUCACUUGUGGCCAGGAGCCUUCAUUUGUGAAGUUGCUCAUCCUUUAGGAGUUUUUAAACCCUAAGAAAUCUAGGAAAGAUUCAUCUGAGAAGGAACUAUUGCUCAGGGAAUUAGUUAUGGGACCUGGGCAUCUGAUCUGCAGGUGACAAGUCUAGUUCAACUUAUUGUGGGAGAUUUAGAUAGAUGCGCAUUCAUCACUGUUCUAGAGACCAGGAAGAAAGAGGUGGCCAUUGCUUUCAUGUGCAAGUGCCCUUCAGUUCCAGAAAUACAGAAAUAUUCAGACAUACACACAAAAUUGAAGUAUUAUAUCUUAGUAUUUAGGUACUAAGUGCUUAGUACUAAGUGCUUAGUAUUAUGUCAGUACUAAUACUUAUGUGUUAGUACUUAGGGGGAACAUAAGAAAAACUAAACUUUAAUGAUAAUUCCUUAUUUUAUGAUGAUUUUACUCUGGGACCCCUAAAUUUUGACGUGUUUAACCAGAUUUUAUUUCUAAGCUGUCAUUUAUAUAUACAACUAUUGCAUAGAGGGCAGAACACCAGCAAGGAUGAUGUAGGACAUAUACUGACUCCCCAGGGUAGUUGACUCACAUCCUCGACAAUGGUGCUAAUGAGAGGCCCACUGGGCCAGGGAUUAUUUGAGAAGAGAUUAAUUGACAAUUGCUUUUGUUAGCAGGACUCCACAUUUCUGAAUUUCUACUCCAGCAUCAACCAGAAAGUUCAGUGAUAAAAUCAUUCUAUCUAUUUCUGAUGGAGUCAAUUGCAAAAAAUGUGGUCAGUGACCUUUUAUGUUCUUUCCAAUUAGUUCUGUACUUUGUAACUUGGAGGGACAGUUUUGCAAACUGGCUUUGCUGAAGGUCACUGGUCACUAUAUGUGUAAGACAGCCUGAGUGUGAGCUGCUGCAUUAACUGGGUGGUGGGCUCUAUUGGGACAUUCCUAAAUAUGUAAAUGAAUGAAUUAGACACCAGCAAUCAUCUAUGCAAGUCCAUUUACAUCUCCAAGUUUAUGCUUCGAAGCCUCUUCUCAUUGUGAUGUUAGUAGCAGUGUUAGCAUUUGUCAUGGUCACAGUACAGCUGGUAUCCAAGUUACUUUGUUCCCUUUUGGGUCCUCCAGUGAUAGCCCUCCCUCAUCUCAAUUAACUAUAAAACAUUCUACACAUUACAUUUUUUAUUCUGUAAACAUGGAAAAUAAACUGAAAUCCCAAAUUGUAUAUUGU